rnacentral:rRNA from 1 species
GAUCCUGGCUCAGGAUGAACGCUAGCGGCAGGCUUAACACAUGCAAGUCGAGGGGCAGCGAGAUUGAAGCUUGCUUCAAUUGUCGGCGACCGGCGGACGGGUGCGUAACGCGUAUGCAACCUACCCAUAACAGGGGGAUAACACUGAGAAAUUGGUACUAAUACCCCAUAACAUCUCGAGUGGCAUCACUUGGGGUUGAAAGCUUCGGUGGUUAUGGAUGGGCAUGCGUUGUAUUAG